GGACGGAGGAGUGGGGCGUUCUUACGUAGUGGGGACAGAGUUUCGGUUUUGCAAGAUGAAAUGAGUUCUAGAAAUGAAUGGGGUGAUGAUUGUACAACAACGUGAAGGUACUUAAUGCUACCAAACUGUACUUUUAGAUAUGGUUAAGUGGGUGAAUGUUGCAUGAUCUGUAUUUUGCCACAGUGAGAAAAAAAAAGUGGGGUUCUGGUGGCCGUGACUGGCUGCCUUGUAAGGUUUCCUGUUUCUGAAUGAUGGUGACACCCACCCCGUCCCCAUGUGACCUGCUUGCUCACUACUGUUUACCAGGAAAGCCAGAAUAUUGUCACUAGGAGAGAAUGUUGUCAAUCAGAGGAAAUCUAACAGAGCCAGGGAGAUGCUUUGGGGAUCAUACAAGUCUCAAACCCAAGACCCGUUUCUGGAAAUGCUACCGUGUUCCAAGCAGAUCUCACCAGCUAGGAAUGGAAACAGAGGCAUUCUGUCAAAGGAAAGAACUUGAUGAGAAAUUAUUUUAUGAAAGCCAAAUUUUGGCAUGUUUUCACAUUUUAGUUUGUCAGAACA
rnacentral:lncRNA from 10 species